GAGUUUGAUCCUGCCUCAGAACGAACGCUGGCGGCAGGCUUAACACAUGCAAGUCGAGCGCCCCGCAAGGGGAGCGGCAGACGGGUGAGUAACGCGUGGGACUCUACCGAGCCCUACGGAAUAACGCAUGGAAACGUGUGCUAAUACCGUAUACGCCCUACGGGGGAAAGAUUUAUCGGGGUUUGAUGAGCCCGCGUUGGAUUAGCUAGUUGGUGGGGUAAAGGCCUACCAAGGCGACGAUCCAUAGCUGGUCUGAGAGGAUGAUCAGCCACAUUGGGACUGAGACACGGCCCAAACUCCUACGGGAGGCAGCAGUGGGGAAUUUUGGACAAUGGGCGCAAGCCUGAUCCAGCCAUGCCGCGUGUCUGAAGAAGGCCUUCGGGUUGUAAAGGACUUUUGUCCGGGAGCAAAUGCCUGGUGUUAAUAGCAUCGGGAGCUGAGAGUACCGGAAGAAUAAGCACCGGCUAACUACGUGCCAGCAGCCGCGGUAAUACGUAGGGUGCAAGCGUUAAUCGGAAUUACUGGGCGUAAAGCGCGCGUAGGUGGUUCGUUAAGUUGGAUGUGAAAUCCCCGGGCUCAACCUGGGAACUGCAUUCAAAACUGUCGAGCUAGAGUAUGGUAGAGGGUGGUGGAAUUUCCUGUGUAGCGGUGAAAUGCGUAGAUAUAGGAAGGAACACCAGUGGCGAAGGCGACCACCUGGACUGAUACUGACACUGAGGUGCGAAAGCGUGNGGAGCAAACAGGAUUAGAUACCCUGGUAGUCCACGCCGUAAACGAUG
rnacentral:rRNA from 1 species